GAUGCUUGCAGAGCAUGUAAAUAAACCACGACAGAGUAGCUGCCGUUGUGUCUUUCCCAGCAAUUAUGAAGUUAAGGAUUAUAUCUCGCAAGUAUGUUGGAUCAGUGUCACUCACUUGUAGAAAUCUGGAUAAAAUGUCUUCCUUUUUCAUCUGCAUAAUCUGUAGAAAAUAAUAAUUUCAAUAUUCCACUUCAACAGGUAAUAUAAGUUGUUAACUAUAAGUAGCUCUACUGUUCUAGUUCACUCACUGAAGAUUCAUCCUUUGAGUUGCGCAUUUGCUCAAUCUUGUUGUGGAUCAGCUUAUACACAAAAUUAUCAACCACUUCUAUACUUUUCUUCAGUGUGGCCUCUGAUCCAAUAUUUAGAAAUCUUUUGAUCUUCCAGAAGAUAUCAACAUAUCGGAAGAGGAUUGCUGCACUUGAAUCAUCAAAAGCAGCUGUAAACUGUUUGCCUUCUAAAUUUGAUCCACACAUGCUGUCUAGUUCGACUCCAAAUGCAACUUUGAAUAUUGAAUCUAAAGUCGAUUUCAUAAACAAGUCCUGCACAAUAUAUCGUUAUAACAGAUUCAUUUUAUAUAUCACUCUGCCAUUGAUCUUGCCAUUAGGUGAACUUACCUGUAUAUCCAUUAUCUCAUUGGAAUUUGCUGCUUCAGACACUAUAGUCGCAAGUUUUGCCGCAUUUUCCCGAAAGACUACACUGCUGAAAUCUCUCAAGACCUUGGUUGAGAAUUCAUAGCUUGAUACUUUCCUCUGUUGACGCCACUUAUCACCAUCGACAGUGAAAAUCCCAUCGCCUAGUAAACCCUUUAGCAAGCUGUAAUUGUACUCACCCUGCACAAAAAAUUAAACAGAUUGGAAAACCAAAACAACUCCACCAUUCUGCCUUUUGGGUGGCCAUAUAAUUAUCAAAAGCCCUUUCAUUCCAACUAAUCACUCUGCGGCACAUUAGCAUCUUCAAUUGACUUACUUGUGGCGAGAUUGAGACCCUUUUCUUAAUCUAAUUAUGGGUGUUUCUGUCUAGGCUACUUAUACUAACCAAUCACCGGGAGAGUUCAGAAUUUUCUAGACCAACAAAUUAUUUGUGACUUUGAGGUGUGAAACGAGAGUCGGCACCAUACCUUGCCAUAAUUCUGGAAAUUUGUUUUGAGAAUAUACUCAACAUUGUCGGGUUCCGAGGUAUAAAUCUCAUUCCUGAAAGGGCUAAGCAGCCUGUAGGUCCUGUACUUCCCUGCAAGAUCAGUCAUAUAGUGAUGCAAUCUUCUGAAGUUGAGGAGCUGGUUAAAAACCGUUCCGCCAACAGGAUGGUACUUGGCCUUAUUUUUCCUCUGCCUUUCUCUUAGUUUUGCUGUGAGGAACUUGACAGUGAAAAGGGCAAGGAUUAGACUUAGAACCAAAGCUACCAAGGGAACUGGGUUAGACAGAUCCAUGGACAUGGAGGUACGUUUGGGUAAGCUGGUCUAUCAAUGUUAGGUGAAGGCUGUAUUAAACUAGAGAAGUCGGUUUUGUAAUACUAAUAAUAUCAACGGAGAGAAGUCCUUCUGCUAAGUCAUUCCUCUCAACCAAACGUGUCAUAACCUAAUUGGACGACAUUCGGACAAGCCCUAAACGUGGUUCUCUCGAAUUUCACAAGGUGAUCUUUUUGAAAAUUGGUAAAAAAUUACUAAUAAACUUCACCACAGCCAAGUAACAAAACAAAGGGCCAUACUUGUUAUUUCCUUAGUUAUGAUGAUAAAGAACAUACAAAUCUCUUCUAAUUGGUUAUUCUAUAGUUAAGUAAAGAGAAUGAUUUUUGAAUUUAAUUCUUAAAUAAGAAAAUACGUGUAUUUAUCAUGUUAAAUUUAAUACUCAAAUGAAAAAUUAAUUAGAAUUUUAUUUCGGAGCAUAUGAUACAAUCAAGUAACUUAAGUACAAAGAUGAUUAAGCUUGGCAAACAAGGAUAUGUCAUGUUUCUCAAUCCGAGAGAUAAGAAGCACAGAGCCAAAGGCCCUGCAAAAAGGCAGGGGAGAACUGAAUUGUUGUUUCCUAAAACUUUGCAUUAAGAUCAACAUGACUUUCUAGUCAUUAAAUAUUCUGCUAGAUUUCGAACUUGCAAAUAUGGUCUGUUUUAAUGAAAUUGCAGAAUGUUGUCUCACGUCUCAAGAACUUUGAUUUCACUUCUUUUUCAAGGAAAAAAAAAUGGUUUCACUUAGUUUGCAGAAGUGUCCUGAACUCAAUUUUCAGACAAAAGUAUGGUUCAAGACUCCUUGGUGAGUGAAAGUAAUUCUUCAUCAUAUUUAUUCCUUUAUUUUUCUUUUUGGAUAUCAUUGUAUUUAUUCUUGUGCAAGGACAAGUACAUGCAUACUCAAACCUUGCAAUUGCCCAGCAUACAGAACUGAGCCAACAGAUGAAACCCGUGGUCAAAUAGGCAAGAAAGACUAAGUCUGACAUCUGGGAAAUGCGCGGACAUGAAGGCCCCCAUCUACAUGAAGAGUGAUCAUCGUCCUGUAGGUGACAGAUUUAUUCUCAUCACUCAGUUUGAACACAAAGUAGUGCACAAGAACAGCCGAGAAGAUCUUCAUCUGCCUAUAAGCAAAUUCCUUGCCUAAACAAAUUCGAGGCCCUGCCUGUAAACCAUUAGAAAAUAAAGUUCAGUAUGUUCACAUCUUUAGCCGGUGAAAUCACACUUGUGAAACAAUAUGAGAAGUUUGAACUUUCGGAAAAAGACCCAGAACCAGAAAUCAAAUGCCGUUAUACUGAUUUUUUACCCUUUUUUCCUAUUUGAGGUUUUAUUUUACACCAAGUGCCAAUCAGAAUAAUAAUGCUUUGGCCGAUCUGGAAACGAAGCGUACAAGAAUUUCUAAUUUGUAGUAUGUUCUGCACACCUGGAAUGCUGUAAACUUAAAAGGGCUUUCUGGUUGGAACAUCCCAUCCUCAUCAAGCCAUCUCUCUGGUCUGAACUCCUCUGCAUCAUCACCCCAUAUGAAUUUCAUUCUGCCCAUUGCAUAAGGUUGAUAACAAACCAUAUCUCCUUUCCUCACACUGAACCCAUCUGGAAGAGUAUCAUCAGAAAAGCAUAUCUUUGGAUCCUGCAAUCAAAGUGAAGAGGUAGUGAGAACCAAAGAAAACCCCAGAACAUAGAAAGGAAGCUAAUUUCUAGCCUUCCCGAUACGCCUUGAAUGGAUAUCAGUUUAUAGAUGCAUGUUCUUUGAUGUGCAUUAACAAGUUCAGUUGGAGGAUUCAAGAUUCAAGGCAACUUUGCUUACAACUGGAACAGCGGGGUAGAGCCUUAAUGUUUCAGUUAAGGCUGCAUGGAGAUAGUGCAUUUUUCCUAGAGCUUCUUCGCUCAAGAUAGCAGCAAAUUCAGCAAAAUCUUUAACCUCCAUCGUGUCAGUUGCUUCCUUCACUUCUUGUGCAACCUUUUCUUGAACAUCAGGAUGCUUGCAGAGCAUGUAAAUAAACCACGACAGAGUAGCUGCUGUUGUGUCUUUCCCAGCAAUUAUGAAGUUAAGGAUUAUAUCUCGCACGUAUGUUGGGUCAGUGUCAUUCAAUUGCAGAAAUCUGGAUAAAAUGUCUUCCUUUUUCAUCUGCACAAUCCGUAGAAUACAAUUAUUUCAAAAUUCUACAUAGAAACCGUUAAUUAUAAGUAGCUCUAUUCUUCUAGUUCACUCACAGAAGAAUCGUUCGAGUUACGCAUCUGCUCAAUCUUGUUGUGGAUCAGCUUAUACACAAAAUUAUCAACCACUUUUGUACUUUUCUUUAGUUUUGCUUCUGAUCCAAUAUUUAAAAAUCUCUUGAUCUUCCAGAAGAUAUCAACAUAUCGGAAGAGGAUUGCUGCGCUUGAAUCAUCAAAAGCAGCUGUAAACUCUUUGCCUUCUAAAUUUGAUCCACACACGCUGUCUAGUUCAACUCCAAAUCCAACUUUGAAUAUCGAAUCUAAAGUCGAUUUCAUAAACAAGUCCUGCACAACAUUUCGCUAUAACAGGUUCAUAUUAUAUAUCACUCCGUCAUGGAUCUUGCCAUUAGGUGAACUUACCUGAAUAUCCAUUAUCUUGUUGGACUUCGCUGCGUCAGACACUAUAUUUGCAAGCUUUGCUGCAUUUUUCCGAAAGACUACAGUGCUGAAAUCCCUCAACACCUUCGUUGAGAAUUCAUAGCUUGACACUUUCCUCUGUUGACGCCACUUAUCACCAUCGACUGCGAAAAUCCCAUCACCUAGUAAACCCUUUAGCAAGCUGUAAUUGUACUCACCCUGCACAGAAAAUUAGACAAAUUGAAAAACCAAAACGACCCCACCAUUCUGCCGUAGCCAUAUAAUUAUCAAAAACUCUUUCGUUAUAGCAAAUAACCCUGCAGCACAUUAGCAUUUGUAGUUGACUUAAUUGUGACUAUAGAUUGAGACACUCUUUCAUAUUCUAAUUCUGGGUGUUACUGUCUAAGCUACUUCUUCCAACCAAUGACAGGGGGAGUUCAAAAUUUUCUAGACCAACAAAUUACCUUGCCAUAAUUCUGGAAAUUUGUUUUGAGAAUAUAUUCAACGUUGUCUGGUUCCGAGGUAUAAACCUCACUCCUGAAAGGGCUAAGCAGCCUGUAGUUCCUGUACUUCCCAGCAAGAUCAGUCAUAUAGUGAUGCACUCUUUUGAAGUUGAGGAGCUGGUUAAAAAGUGUUCCGCCAACAGGAUGGUACUUGGUCUUGUUUUUUUUCUGCUUUUCUCUUAGUUUUGCUGCGAGGAACUUGACAGUGAAAAGGAUCAGGAUUAGAUUUAGAAACAAAGCGACCAAUGUAGCUGGGUUAGACAGAUCCAUGGAGAUGGAGGUCCUUUUUGGGUAAGCUGGUCGAUCAAUGUUAGCGGGUGAAGACUGAAGAAAACUAGAGGUCUUUUUAUAAUACUAAUAAUAUCAACGGGGAGAAAUCCUUUUGCUAAGUCAUUUCUCUUAACCAGACGUGUGACUAUAUUCGGACAAUCCGCAAACGUGUUUCUCUUAAAUUUUACGUGCACAUUGCUGAGAGUCCAACCAUGAGAGAGAUAUGCACCGACUUUCCUUCGUUGUCUCCUUUUUCGUUUUUAAAUUGUUAUAAGUUAUUAACUAAUUUCACCACAACCAAUUAACAAAACAAAGGGCAGGACUAGGUUUUUUUUUACUCAGUCAAUAUAACUAUUUAGAGAAAAUUGUGAAAAAUAACUCAUAAGGUGAUUUCAAAAAUAAUUAUCCAUAUAAUGUUAUCUGUUUUUACCAAAAAACAAACAUGAGUAAACCAAAAUGCUCUCAGAAACAUCCUGGCAAAUCAAUCUCCUAAUAUCUCUCUCGCUGUAAAGAAAAUAAAUACUCAGUUAUUUCAGCUCGCUCAACUCUUUCAGCUCUCUAAAUUAUAUCAGCUUUGUCAACUCUCUGUUAAGUACCAUCGUCAUCAACUCUCUUAGCUAUUUGAACUGUAUCAUCUAUAUGUACUUAUUAAAGAUAUAAAUUAAAGAAUAUAAAAGAAAACGAAGUAAAUGAAUAAUUGAAAAGACAAGUCGAGCCACUAAUUACUACAAUGAUCACUGUCUGAUCACGACAGCUAAAGCCACUGCAAUUGCUCGGCCAAUAAAGUUGACAAACUUUGUUGAAAUAGGACUUGCAUUGAAAAUCACGUCAGUUCAUACUAUCUUAGGAUCAUAUGUGACCAUUUUGUAUAAGCUAGCUUUCUUUCAAAUUAUGAUAACUAUGCAUUUAAUGAAUGAUUUAUAUGAUGAUUAGUAUGCAUUCUUAGGCCUAGCUACUGUUCAAAACUUAGUUGUUAAGUUUUGUUAUGUAUAUAAACUAAGUCAAUGCAUAUCAGAAAUAUGAAACCUACUGUUACAACAAAAACUGUCUUUACUUGCUCUGUUUCAUACUUAUCCUACAUCAACUAAAACACAACAAAACUUACUAAAUAAAGCAAUCUAUAUACCAACAAUGUCUUGGAAUUUAGCAAGUUUUAGUUUGUCCUCUUGGAAUGACAUAGAGGUCGAGGCCAUGCUGGAGGGUGAAGCCACAACAUGGUCCUAUCGUCUGCCAAGUUGAAGCGAAAGUAGUGAAUAAGGGAACUUUGUUGAGAUUUUCUUUAUCUGCUCAGAAGAAAUUAAGAAAAAAUUAUAUGGUGUAGAUACUUGAUUUUGAUUUUGAUUGUUAACAUAUUUCUUCAAUAUAAAGUAAAAUUAAUUUAUAAAACGUUGUAUUACUAUGUAAGAAGUAGUGUAGAUAAUUUAUAAUAAGUAGAAAAAUCACGUCAUUGUAUAAACUAGUGAAAAUAUCUUCGAAAUAAAUGAUGAGAUUUUUAAAUUAAUUUUUUUAAAAUGUUUUGAAGAGUUUGAUUUGAUAACUUAAAUACAUAAAUGAAAAUUUUCUAAAUACGUAUGCAUAAAAUCCACUAUCACCAUCAAUGACCUAAACAUUCAUAAGGCUUUAAUGCCUCAACAGUUGACAUUUUCUCAUUGGUAUGAAUAAAUUUCAUUAAUUACAAGAUUACUCAAUUCCAUAACCCUUCAAGAUAUUUUCUCAUUGAUUGUGUUCGAUUUGAUAAGGAUGUUAAUUUUUUUUUUUGAAUUACAAAUAUUUUUCAUUUUUUUAAAUAAUUAAGUGACGCACUUCUAAUGCCUCAGUAGCUGACAUUAAUUAUCCAUUGGUUGCAUUCACUUUGAUUCGGAGCUAAUUAACAACCGAAAAGUUGGCCGAUGUUUGCCGACUUGGAUUUAAUGGUCAUAUGAGUUGGUGUAACAAUGUGAUACCAAAAAGGUAGUAAUCAAUACAAAUUUUGAGUAGGAAGAGUACUGCAUUCAAAUGAAAUCAAGAAGAAGAUUGUGGAGAAAACUCUCAUUUAAUGGAAGAACAUGACUGCCAAAUACGAGUACCUAAACAUGGUUUGGCAAUUGCCAUCAUCCUAUGCAUCCCUAGGUUACUUAACUGAUUGAUGUAAUUCAUUGAAUAAAAUGGUUAGUUGUUAUUAUCAUGUCAUGUCAUCGUCAUGAUAUUUCUUCCUCUUUUGUGAGUAAUGAGAUUUUUGAAGGAUGGAGAUGACUCUACCUAAAUUCUUAGAUUUUUUUGUUGCUUAUUUUCAUUGUAUUUUGAGUUUUUGACUGUGUCUAACUGUUUAUCUUUUGCAAAGCCAUUUUUUCACCUUAAUUUCAACCCAGCAUCUGUGUGUUGUCCGAUGGGUUAGAAAAUGGGCAAGUUUGAUUGGUGGUUGAUUCCUUUUCUUCAGCAUUUUGGUAACUUGGGCCUAUAAAAUUUAUUUAUAGUAGACAAAAAAAAACUUUUAUUAAAAAAUAUUAUAGUAAAUAUUUGUUUCUUUUCGGAUAAUUGACUUUUAUUUAGCUAAGGAAUAUUUUAUUUGAAAUAUGUCCCAUAUAUACCACUGAAAAUCCAAGGCUUUUUAUGGUUAUUCAUUCUUAAUGGCAUUUCUACUAAAUGCUUUCUAAGAAUCAGAACGCAUGGUGUAUGUCCUACAAUACAAAUGGUGAUAACCUUUGUUUUUGGUGUUACAGCCAUGGAGGAAAAGAGUGAUGAUAUUUUAUUUUCUUGUCACUUCAUACGGUCCAUGGAGGAAAUGUGGAUAGAUCGAAGAUAAGUAAAUCAAGAUUCACAGACUGUGAAAGCGUAUUAAAAGAUGAGAACUUUUUGACUUGGAUUUUUUUUAAUAAAAGUUCUUUGCUUGGAUUUUUUUUUAGUAAAAAUUCUUUGCUUGGAUUUAAGAGAUGAGAUUCAAAGAACUUUUAAGAGAUGCAGCAAACAACCUCAAAAUCCAAGCUCUUUGCUUGUAAGCUUCCUAGCCACUUGUAAACAGAAAAUACGGCUUCUAUGGAGUCCCAAUCUCGGGAAAUGGUCAGGGCAUAUAGACCAGAUGACUCGAAUUGUACAUAUAUUUUUUUCUUUUUUGGUGAAAUAACUCAAAUUCCAUUGAUCAACACAUUUACAGAAAAAAGCAAAUCAACACUAUAGAAAAAUGCAAAUCGGGGCUCUUAUGUACAACCAGCAAGGUUGAAGACUUGAAGUUGAACAAAUUGAUGACUUUGCACAGGAGGAUAUUUGGAAAUUCAUCAACUUGUCCUUGGAACAGCAUAAAGAUGGAGGCCCCCCUUCAUAUGAAGUGUGAACAUUGUCCUGUAAGUUGCAAUUUUCGUAUAAUCAACUAAUUUAAAGCGGAAGAAGCGAAGAAGGGCAAUUGAGACUAUCUUCAUCUACCGGUGAGCAAAAUCCUUGCCUAAGCAAGUUCGAGGACCCGCCUGAAACAUAAUGCAGCAGCUGGAAAAGAUUAAGAUCGUUUGACAACUAUAUAGGCACAUGCAUGUUAUACACAUGGUAGAAAUGGAACAAAGAAUACUAACAUGAAAUGCUAUGAAUUUGAAAGGGGAUUCGGACUGGAAAACUCCAUUGUUAAGCCAUCUUUCUGGUCGAAAAGUGUCGGCAUCUUCUCCCCAAAUGUCAGGCAUUCUACGCAUGGCGUAGGCCAUGUAAUACACCCCGUCUCCUUUCUUGAGUUUGUAGCCAUCGGGGAGAAUGUCAUCCUGCUCUGCAUUCCUUCCAUCCUUGAAGCACAAAGUGAGAACCAUAUCAUAUUCCAGCUGUCGAAAUGCUAAGACUGCAAGAAAAUCUAUGAGUGUCUCAGGCACCUUACAAUGGCGACAGCAGGGUACAGCCUUAAGGUCUCUGUUAUGGCUGCAUGAAGAUAGUGCAUUUGCUCUAGGGUUGAAUCAGUUAUGGUUGUCACGAAAUCAUCAACAUUAUUAGCACCAUUUCUUUUACUACUAGUGACGUCCACCACUUCUUGUGCAAGUUUUUCUUGUAUCAAAGGGUUCUUGCAGAGCAUGUAGAAGAACCAGGACAGAGUAUUCGCAGAAGAAUCUUUGCCAGCGAGUACGAAGUUCAGGAUUAUAUCCCUUAAAUAUUUGUCAUUCAUUGUGUCUGGAUUCUUCUCGCUUUCCACUAAAAAUCUUGAAAGUAUGUCUUCUUUCACAUUCUUGAAGCCAUAAAAAGAAAUAAGAAAAAACAAACCAAUUAUUAGUAAAGUAUAAAUUUCCACGCCAAAAACCAGAUUACCUUAAGCAGUGAGAUUGAAUUCAACAGUGUUCUUGUGACUCUCAAGUCCCACCAUAUUUGUUAGACCAAGAUUGACUAUAAGAAAUUCUUGCAGCAAAAUAUAUAUGGCUCACCAAAUCUCGUUCCAUGCCCAGCAGUUUCCUCUUGGAGCUAAUGACAUCGUGAACAAAGUAUCAACGACUUUGAUAUUCUUUCUGAGGGCAGCUUCAGAGCCAAUGUUAAGAGACCGUUUCAGCUUCCAGAAAGGGUCAACAAAGCGCCUCUCAUUUGAAUCAUCAAAAGCCUUCAUAAAAGUAGUCCCUUCCUUACUUGACCCAUCCAUGCAGUUUAAAUCUAUGCCAAACCCAACUUUGAAUAUGGAAUCUAGAGUGCAUGUCAUUAAUAGAUUCUACAAAUUAAAGUAAACACAGCAUGAAAAACUGAAAAAGGGAAAAUUAGACAAGCAUAAUUGUGAGCAUCUUUAAAGUUUUGGGUUAAUUUGAGGGUCAGAUUUCUCACUUGCAUGUCAAAAGCUUGACCCGACACUUCCAGCUUCGAAAUAACUCCAACCAGUUUGGCAGCGUUCCUUCUGAAAACAGAGCAGCUAAAAUAUUUAAGAACUCUCGUCGAGAACUCGAAGCUUGCCAGCUUCCGCUGCUUCCGCCACUUGUCUCCGUCCACCGCAAAGAUCCCUUGUCCAAAAAGAUCUAUCAGAAUUUCUUGGUUUUGUUUACCCUUACAGUAUCUGUCGAACUUUGUUUUCAAUAUGUACUCUACAUUUCGCGUAUCGACGGUGUAUACUACGCUUAGCCCUAAAGCGAGUUGCCUGUAAGUGGGCUGUUUUUUGGCCGCUUGGGUUUGGUAGUCGUAGAGAUAGUUGAAAUAAAACAACUGGUUGAAAACGCUGCCCUUCACCGGUGGGUUGUCAGGAUUUCCGAUGGAUUUUCCGGUGAAGAUUUUGAUUGUGAGAAAAGAGAAGAUCAGGAAGAGAAUGAGUGGUGGUAAUGACAUCAACAAGAAGAUGGUAGAGAGAAUAUCCAUUUUUCCUUUUUCUAAUGAAUACUCGGAAAGGUUAUAGGCCAUAUAUGCAGAUUCUUGCAUUGGGUUGCAUUCAUUUUUCAACCUACCAACAAAAUCAAACCGUUUUCAUCACCAAUAUCUUUCUCAACAACAAAAUCAUUUGUUUAAUAAUUAUAAUGUUUACACGUGUACGAUUGCCAUUUCAUCAAUUUGAUUUUUCUUGUAAAUUAAGUUGAUGCCACCAUAUCUCAUACUUCAAAAAUUUUAGAGGAUUGUACGGAUAAUCAUAAAUUUAUAAUCAUAAUUAUAAUCUAUUUAACUUCUAAAGUGAAUUAACAUAUAUAACUUUAAUCAAGUAAGCAUGAAAAAAGUGUAUCAUUUAAGUUUGGGUCUUGUUUACGAAUAUUCUAAGAGUUUUUUUAUCGUUAAUUAAAAUAUUAUAAUAAUAUUUUUCUUUUAAAUGUCGUAAUUGACUGGUAGUGCGAUGAUUUUCAAUAUAUCUAAAAUGAUAUUACUCAAUAUAAUAACUUUAAAUAAUAUCAUUAUAACAAUAGUUAGUAAAAGUCAUAAUAUUCAAAAAAGCUUUUAAAUUAUUCAAAAAAUUUAAAAUAAAUCUUACUUUUAUUAUAUUCAAUUAUAUUUUUAUAUUUUUAUUUUAGAUCAAAUAAAUCUUUUAUUUUUAUUUUGAAUCAAAUAAAUCUUUAUAAAUAAUAAUUGACUUAGUUAAAAUGUUAUUUGUCAUUAUAUAUUACGUGACGCUGAUGUAGUAUACUAACAUAUCAUAAUUAAUGAUGAUGUGAUAUGUUGAUUUAUCAUAUUUGAUAAUGAUAUGACAUGCUAGUUUAACCUAAUAACAUGAUGACAUUUUUCAAUCUCUACAUUAAUAUCAUAUUAGUGCCACGUGGAUAUAAAAUGAUAAAAUAUAUUUUGACUAAUGAAAAUUAGUCAAUUAUUAUUAAUAAAAGCUUAUUUGAUCUAAAAUAAAAAUAUAGAGACUUGAUUAAGCGUAACAAAAGAAUAAAAAUUUAUUCGAAUUUUGUUAAAUAGUUUCAGAGCUUAUUUGAGAAAUAUGUGUUAGUAAAACCAUUUAUAUUUAAAUUUUUAUUUUAUUUUUUGAAAAGUAAUUUGUCAUAAACGGAAUAAUGACAUGGCUAUAGAUUAAGCUAGGCUAUAAACUUAUUUCAGCCUUAAAUGAUUAACAAUGAAUAAGGUGCGUCCCCUCUCAAGAAACCCCUAUACAAUAGUUAGGAUAAACCCUUAAAGGAUGGACCUCAGGACCGGGGGCAGCUCAAGUACCUCUUGUGACGACAUGAUAUUCAUUGAAGACUAUUUGGACUUCAAGCGUGUUCAUCCAUUGACAUUGGCAAUUAGUUUCUGCUGGCAUGAACCGUAUGGCGACCACUUGUAUGAUUGUGAUAUAUCAUGCUGUUGAGUGCGAGCUCAACUUUGUUGAAGUACAUUGGUGUCCUUGGUUUUGUUGAAUUCUGACAAUAGACAUCCCAUACCCAAUUCAUAGCAUACAUAUGGCUUUUAUCUUUGUUUAAAUUGAAUUAAGAACAUCCGGAUUCAUUUCAUACUCAUAAGAUCUUAAGAUGAUCAAGAUUUGCACUUAACGGAAGCAAAACUGGCCUGAACUCAAUAUUCAGACAAAAGUAUGGUUCUAGACUCUUUGGUCAGUGAAAGCAACCAUCCAUCAUAUCGAUUCCUUUCGUCCUUUUUGCUUGGUGACAUCAUCCGAUUUACUCAUGUGCAAGGAAAGAUACAAGUAUAUUAACAGUGUGCAUUUGCCUAGUAUAAAGAACUGAGCCACCAGAUGAAACCCUUGGUCAAAUAAGCUAGAAAGACCAAAGUUAAGUCUGACAUCUGUGAAGUGCGCGGACAUGAAGGCCCCCAUCUACAUGAAGAUUGAUCAUCGUCCUGUAGGUGACACAUUUAUUCUCAUCACUCAGUUUGAACGCAAAGCAGUGCACCAGAACAGCUGAGAAGAUCUUCAUCUGCCUAUAAGCAAAUUCCUUGCCUAAACAAAUUCGAGGCCCUGCCUGUAAACCAUUAGAAAAUAAAGUUCAGUAUCUUCACAUCUUUAGCCGGUAAAAUCACACUUGUGAAACAAUAUGAGAGGUUUGAACUUUCAGAAAAAGACUCAGAACCAGAAUCAAAUGCUGUUAUGCUGCUUUUUUACCAUUUUUUUUCUAUUUGAGGUCUUUUUUUACACCAAGUGCCAAUCAGAAUAAAAAUGCUUUGCCCGAUCUGCAAAAGAAGCAUACAACAAUUUCUAAUUUGCAACAUGUUCUGCAUACCUGGAAUGCUGUAAACUUAAAAGGGCUUUCUGGUUGGAACAUCCCCUCCUCAUCAAGGCAUCUCUCUGGUCUGAACUCCUCUGCAUCAUCACCCCAAAUGAAUUUCAUUCUGCCCAUUGCAUAAGGUUCAUAACAAACCAUAUCUCCUUUCCUCACACUGAACCCAUCUGGAAGAGUUUCAUCAGACAAGCAUAUCUUUGCAUCCUGCAAUCAAAGUGAAGAGGUAGUGAGAACCAAAGAAAACCCCAGAACAUAGCAAGGAAGCUAAUUUCUAGCCUUCCCGAUAUGCAUUGAAUGGAUAUCAGUUUAUCGAUGCAUGUUCUUUGAUGUGCAUUAACAAGUUCAGUUGGAGGAUUCAAGAUUCAAGGCAACUUUGCUUACAACUGGAACAGCGGGGUAGAGCCUUAAUGUUUCAGUUAAGGCUGCAUGGAGAUAGUGCAUUUUUCCUAGGGCUUCUUCGCUCAAGAUAGCAGCAAAUUCAGCAAAAUCUUUAACCUCCUUCGUGUCAGUUGCUUCCUUCACUUCUUGUGCAACCUUUUCUUGAACAUCAGGAUGCUUGCAGAGCAUGUAAAUAAACCACGACAGAGUAGCUGUCGUUGUGUCUUUCCCAGCAAUUAUGAAGUUAAGGAUUAUAUCUCGCAAGUAUGUUGGAUCAGUGUCACUCACUUGUAGAAAUCUGGAUAAAAUGUCUUCCUUUUUCAUCUGCAUAAUCUGUAGAAAAUAAUAAUUUCAAUAUUCUACUUCAACAGGUAAUAUAAGCUGUUAACUAUAAGUAGCUCUACUGUUCUAGUUCACUCACUGAAGCUUCAUCCUUUGAGUUGCGUAUUGGCUCAAUCUUGUUGUGGAUCAGCUUAUACACAAAAUUAUCAACCACUUCUAUACUUUUCUUCAGUGUGGCCUCUGAUCCAAUAUUUAGAAAUCUUUUGAUCUUCUAGAAGAUAUCAACAUAUCGGAAGAGGAUUGCUGCACUUGAAUCAUCAAAAGCAGCUGUAAACUGUUUGCCUUCUAAAUUUGAUCCACACAUGCUGUCUAGUUCGACUCCAAAUGCAACUUUGAAUAGUGAAUCUAAAGUCGAUUUCAUAAACAAGUCCUGCACAAUAUAUCGUUAUAACAGAUCCAUUUUAUAUAUCACUCUGCAUUGAUCUUGCCAUUAGGUGAACUUACCUGUAUAUCCAUUAUCUCAUUGGAAUUUGCUGCUUCAGACACUAUAGUUGCAAGUUUUGCCGCAUUUUCCCGAAAGACUACACUGCUGAAAUCUCUCAAGACCUUGGUUGAGAAUUCAUAGCUUGAUACUUUCCUCUGUUGACGCCACUUAUCACCAUCGACAGUGAAAAUCCCAUCACCUAGUAAACCCUUUAGCAAGCUGUAAUUGUACUCACCCUGCACAGAAAAUUAAACAGUUUGGAAAACCAAAACAACUCCACCAUUCUGCCUUUUGGGUGGCCAUAUAAUUAUCAAAAGCCCUCUCAUUCCAACUAAUCACUCUGCGGCAUAUUAGCAUCUACAAUUGACUUACUUGUGGCGAGAUUGAGACCCUUUUUCUUAAUCUAAUUACGGGUGUUUCUGUCUAAGCUACUUACACUAACCAAUCACCGGGAGAGUUCAGAAUUUUCUAGACCAACAAAUUAUUUGUGACUUUGAGGUGUGAAACGAGAGUCGGCACCAUACCUUGCCAUAUUUCUGGAAAUUUGUUUUUAGAAUAUACUCAACAUUGUCUGGUUCCGAGGUAUAAAUCUCAUUCCUGAAAGGGCUAAGCAGCCUGUAGUUCCUGUACUUCCCAGCAAGAUCAGUCAUAUAGUGAUGCAAUCUUCUGAAGUUGAGGAGCUGGUUAAAAACCGUUCCGCCAACGGGAUGGUACUUGGCCUUAUUUUUCCUCUGCCUUUCUCUUAGUUUUGCUGUGAGGAACUGGACGGUGAAAAGGGUCAGGAUUAGACUUAGAACCAAAGCUACCAAGGGAACUGGGUUAGACAGAUCCAUGAAGAUGGAGGUACGUUUGGGAAAGCUGGUCUAUCAAUGUUAGGUGAAGGCUGUAUUAAACUAGAGAAGUCGUUCUGAAAUACUAAUAAUAUCAACGGAGAGAAGUCCUUCUGCCAAGUUAUUCCUCUCAACCAAACGUGUCACAACCUAAUUGGACUACAUUCGGACAAGCCCGAAACGUGGUUCUCUCGAAUUUCACAAGGUGAAAUUUUUGAAAUUGGCAAAAAAUUACUAAUAAAUUUCACCACAACCAGAUAACAAAACAAAGGGUCAUACUUAUUUUUUCCUUAGUUAUGAUGGUAAAGGACAUACAUAUCUGUUCUAUUCGGUUAUUUUGUAGUUAAGUAAAGAGAAUGAUUUUUUAAUUUAAUUUUUAAAUAAAAAUACGUGUAUUUAUCAUGUUAAGUUUAAUAUUCAGAUGAAAAAUUAAUUAGAAUUUUAUUUCAAAGCAUAUGAUACAAUUAAGUAACUUAAGUACAAAGAUGAUUAAGCUUAGCAAACAAGGAAAUGUCAUAUUUCUCAAUCCGAGAGAUAAGAAGCACAGAGCCAAAGGCCCUGCAAAAAGGCAGGGGAGAACUGAAUUGUUGUUUCCUAAAACUUUGCAUUAAGAUCAACAUGACUUUCUAGUCAUUAAAUAUUCUGCUAGAUUUCGAACUUGCAAAUAUGGUCUGUUUUAAUGAAAUUGCAGAAUGUUGUCUCAGGUCUCAACAACUUUGAUUUCACUUCUUUUUCAAGGAAAAAAAAAUGGUUUCACUUAGUUUGCAGAAGUGUCCUGAACUCAAUUUUCAGACAAAAGUAUGGUUCGAGACUCCUUGGUGAGUGAAAGUAAUUCUUCAUCAUAUUUAUUCCUUUAUUUUUCUUUUUGGAUAUCAUUGUAUUUAUUCUUGUGCAAGGACAAGUACAUGCAUACUCAAACCUUGCAAUUGCCCAGCAUACAGAACUGAGCCAACAGAUGAAACCCGUGGUCAAAUAGGCAAGAAAGACUAAGUCUGACAUCUGGGAAAUGCGCGGACAUGAAGGCCCCCAUCUACGUGAAGAGUGAUCAUCGUCCUGUAGGUGACAGAUUUAUUCUCAUCACUCAGUUUGAACACAAAGUAGUGCACCAGAACAGCCGAGAAGAUCUUCAUCUGCCUAUAAGCAAAUUCCUUGCCGAAACAAAUUCGAGGGCCUGCCUGUAAACCAUUAGAAAAUAAAGUUCAGCAUGUUCACAUCUUUAGCCGGUGAAAUCACACUUGUGAAACAAUAUGAGAAGUUUGAACUUUCGGAAAAAGACCCAGAACCAAAAAUCAAAUGCUGUUAUACUGCUUUUUUAGCCUCUUUUUCUAUUUGAGGUUUUAUUUUACACCAAGUGCCAAUCAGAAUAAUAAUGCUUUGGCCGAUCUGGAAACGAAGCGUACAAGAACUUCUAAUUUGUAGUAUGUUCUGCACACCUGGAAUGCUGUAAACUUAAAAUGGCUUUCUGGUUGGAACAUCCCAUCCUCAUCAAGCCAUCUCUCUGGUCUGAACUCCUCUGCAUCAUCACCCCAUAUGAAUUUCAUUCUGCCCAUUGCAUAAGGUUGAUAACAAACCAUAUCUCCUUUCCUCACACUGAACCCAUCUGGAAGAGUAUCAUCAGAAAAGCAUAUCUUUGCAUCCUGCAAUCAAAGUGAAGAGGUAGUGAGAUCCAAAGAAAACCCCAGAACAUAGAAAGGAAGCUAAUUUCUAGCCUUCCCGAUACGCAUUGAAUGGAUAUCAGUUUAUAGAUGCAUGUUCUUUGAUGUGCAUUAACAAGUUCAGUUGGAGGAUUCAAGAUUCAAGGAAACUUUGCUUACAACUGGAACAGCGGGGUAGAGCCUUAAUGUUUCAGUUAAGGCUGCAUGGAGAUAGUGCAUUUUUCCUAGAGCUUCUUCGCUCAAGAUAGCAGCAAAUUCAGCAAAAUCUUUAACCUCCAUCGUGUCAGUUGCUUCCUUCACUUCUUGUGCAACCUUUUCUUGAACAUCAGGAUGCUUGCAGAGCAUGUAAAUAAACCACGACAGAGUAGCUGCUGUUGUGUCUUUCCCAGCAAUUAUGAAGUUAAGGAUUAUAUCUCGCACGUAUGUUGGGUCAGUGUCAUUCAAUUGCAGAAAUCUGGAUAAAAUGUCUUCCUUUUUCAUCUGCACAAUCCGUAGAAUACAAUUAUUUCAAAAUUCUACAUAGAAACCGUUAAUUAUAAGUAGCUCUAUUCUUCUAGUUCACUCACAGAAGAAUCGUUCGAGUUACGCGUCUGCUCAAUCUUGUUGUGGAUCAGCUUAUACACAAAAUUAUCAACCACUUUUGUACUUUUCUUUAGUUUUUGCUUCUGAUCCAAUAUUUAAAAAUCUCUUGAUCUUCCAGAAGAUAUCAACAUAUCGGAAGAGGAUUGCUGCACUUGAAUCGUCUAAAGCAGCUG
rnacentral:lncRNA from 1 species